rnacentral:rRNA from 1 species
UGGGGAAUAUUGCACAAUGGGGGAAACCCUGAUGCAGCGACGCCGCGUGGAGGAAGAAGGCCUUCGGGUUGUAAACUCCUGUCCUUGGGGACGAUAAUGACGGUACCCAAGGAGGAAGCACCGGCUAACUACGUGCCAGCAGCCGCGGUAAAACGUAGGGUGCAAGCGUUGUCCGGAAUUACUGGGUGUAAAGGGAGCGCAGGCGGAUCGACAAGUUGGAAGUGAAACGCACGGGCUCAACCCGUGACCUGCUUUCAAAACUGCCGGUCUUGAGUGGUGUAGAGGUAGGCGGAAUUCCCGGUGUAGCGGUGGAAUGCGUAGAUAUCGGGAGGAACACCAGUGGCGAAGGCGGCCUACUGGGCACUAACUGACGCUGAGGCUCGAAAGCAUGGGUAGCAAACAGGAUUAGAUACC